rnacentral:rRNA from 1 species
UGAGGAAUAUUGGUCAAUGGGCGGAAGCCUGAACCAGCCAAGUCGCGUGAAGGAUGAAGGUUCUAUGGAUCGUAAACUUCUUUUAUAGGGGAAUAAAGUGCACCACGAGUGGUGUUUUGUAUGUACCCUAGGAAUAAGCCCCGGCUAACUACGUGCCAGCAGCCGCGGUAAUACGUAGGGGGCAAGCGUUAUCCGGAUUUACUGGGUGUAAAGGGAGCGUAGACGGUACUGCAAGUCUGAAGUGAAAGCCCGGGGCUCAACCCCGGGACUGCUUUGGAAACGGUCAUGCUUGAAUCAUGGAGAGGGUAGCGGAAUUCCGAGUGUAGAGGUGAAAUUCGUAGAUAUUCGGAAGAACACCGGUGGCGAAGGCGGCUACCUGGCCAUGUAUUGACGCUCAGGUGCGAAAGCGUGGGGAGCAAACA